GCUGGGUGUGGUGGUGCACACCUGUAAUCCCAGUGGCUCCGGAGGCAGAGGCAGGAGAAUGGCAAGUUUGAAGUCAGACUCAGCAGCUUAGGGAGGCUCUAAGCAACUUGUUGAGAUCAUGUCUCUAAAUAAAAUAUAAAAAAGGGCUGCGGAUAUAGUUCUGUGCUAAAUUGCUGAGCUGGCCUUGAACUUGCCAUCCCCCUACCUCAG
rnacentral:sRNA from 1 species